rnacentral:rRNA from 1 species
CCUACGGGAGGCUGCAGUGGGGGAUAUUGCACAAUGGAGGAAACUCUGAUGCAGCAACGCCGCGUGAGGGAAGGAGGUCUUCGGAUUGUAAACCUCUGUCCUCAGGGACGAUAAUGACGGUACCUGAGGAGGAAGCUCCGGCUAACUACGUGCCAGCAGCCGCGGUAAUACGUAGGGAGCAAGCGUUGUCCGGAUUUACUGGGUGUAAAGGGUGCGUAGGCGGCCCUGCAAGUCAGGUGGGAAAACUAUGGGCUUAACCACUAGAUUGCACUUGAAACUGGGGGGCUUGAGUGGAGUAGAGGGCGGGGGGAAUCCCGGGGGUGGCGGUGAAAGGCGUAGGGACGGGAAGAAAACCAAGUGGCGAAGGGGGCUUGUUGGGCUUUAACUAAGGUGGAGGAACAAAAGCGUGGGUGGAAACAGGAUUAGAUACCCUUGUAGUC